rnacentral:rRNA from 1 species
UACGUAGGGUGCGAGCGUUAAUCGGAAUUACUGGGCGUAAAGCGUGCGCAGGCGGUUAUUUAAGACAGAUGUGAAAUCCCCGGGCUCACCCUGGGAACUGCGUUUGUGACUGGAUAGCUGGGGUAUGGCAGAGGGGGGGGGAAUUCCCCGUGUAGCAGUGAAAUGCGUAGAGAUGUGGAGGAACACCGAUGGCGAAGGCAGCCCCCUGGGCCAAUACUGACGCUCAUGCACGAAAGCGUGGGGAGCAAACAGGAUUAGAUACCCUGGUAGUCCACGCCCUAAACGAUGCGAACUAGGUGUUGGGGAAGGAGACUUUCUUAGUACCGCAGCUAACGCGUGAAGUUCGCCGCCUGGGGAGUACGGUCGCAAGAUUA